rnacentral:lncRNA from 1 species
ACUCCCUUUCUUAACCAACUAACUAACUUGUAACUAACUUGUACUAAAUGACAUGUGGUGCAUGAUAGGCUAUGACAUAGGCCAUGGCGUUUUUGAGAAACGAUUACCAGGUCUUGCAGACGGCUUUUUUGAAGGAUUUAUGGAGCCGUACUUUGUGUUGCUUGAGUUUCUUCAAUCAGCCUUUGGCUAUGAACCCUAUCCAGGGUUUAAUAAGAGCAUGAAAGAAAAGAUUGAAGCUGAUAUCAAAUAGUGGAAGGUGAUCAAGAAUCAAAAGAAACUCUCCUGAUUAGCCUAAUGAAAUGUAGUGAUGGAACCGGAGCCCUUUUCUCUCUCGCACAGAAACCACCCCAAAUUCCCUGCUCUUCACCCUACUCCUUCCUUUAGUUGGGGUCACCCCCCUUGACCUGUUGGAAUUUAGAUUGGAAUUUAGGUUGUUAUCUUGCGGGCCAAGGAUUUGUUACUUGCCCGUUAAGUUUUUUGUUUUGUCUAGGAUUUGUUUUAUGGUUUUCUUGUAGGACAAGGAUAUUAGAGUUUUCUAUGUCCUUUAAGGAUUAGGUUUUGCUUUAGUUUUCACUAUAUAUAGUAGUGCUUGUAUCAGUUAGUUUCAAUUAAUCAAGUCAGUCACGAUGUAGUCUCUUGAGAUUAUGUAGUCGUUUUAGCAUUCAGUUUGUUUAAUAAUAUUUCUAUUCUUUUGUUAGUCUCGUUCGUUGCGCAUUCUGAUAUUCAACUUGGUAUCAGAGCAGGUUCAAUCCUUUGGGAUUUAAUCUGCUUUGGUUGUUAUUAGUUUCGUAUGUUCGUUUAGUUUGAUAUUUAAAAAAAACAAAAAUUUUUGCUAAAGCUUUGUCGUGCAUCGCUACUCCGCUGCUUGAAUCGAUUCCGCGGCUAUCCAUUGAACUCGUUGUCCGCACCACCACCAGUUGAAUCCGCUGCUUCCGCCGUACCCGUCGCCCCCACACUGUAUCUGACCCACACGUCCGUUGCCUCGUUUGCAUGAUCCAUGUGCGUCCAGAUUCGACUGAGACCUUGACCAAUCACCAUCUCGUGCUAGUCUUGAACCUCUGCUGUUGCUUGCUGCAGCGUCCUGAUGAACACCCCGCGCCAAGAUCAUGCAUCGACGAACCAAGACCCGCUUGCUCACUGUUAUCGUACUGUUGUUGAAAGAAAAAAAGCGAAAAGAAAAUUCAAAAAAAAAAAAGGAGACAAAUCGGUUGUUUGUUUGGGCCCAGGAUGAAGGAAGGAAUGGUUGAAUGAUGGAAUUGCUCGUCCGCUCGUCCGCUUGCUUGCUUGUUCGCUUGAAUUGCUCGUUUGUUCGUUCGUUUGCUAGCUUGUUCGCCUUGUCUUGUCCGCCUAACGGAGAUUGCAUCCGCAUCUACUGGUUGGCAAACUCAUGUUUGUGUACCGCCAUGAGUUUGACGGGGGGUGUUGGAAUUUAGAUUGGAAUUUAGGUUGUUAUCUUGCGGGCCAAGGAUUUGUUACUUGCCCGUUAAGUUUUUUGUUUUGUCUAGGAUUUGUUUUAUGGUUUUCUUGUAGGACAAGGAUAUUAGAGUUUUCUAUGUCCUUUAAGGAUUAGGUUUUGCUUUAGUUUUCACUAUAUAUAGUAGUGCUUGUAUCAGUUAGUUUCAAUUAAUCAAAUCAGUCACGAUGUAGUCUCUUGGGAUUAUGUAGCCGUUUUAGCAUUCAGUUUGUUUAAUAAUAUUUCUAUUCUUUUGUUAGUCUCGUUCGUUGCGCACUCUGAUAUUCAACCUUCCCCUAUCCCCUCCCUUAAUUCCUCCUCCUUCCUCCCUGCUUAUCUGCCCCCCUUCCUCUUAUUUAUUUCCAGCCCCAUUCCUUUCUGUCCCCUCUCUUUGGUUUUUCCGGUAAUGCCCCUUAAUGUCUAGUUUUCUUAAGUUUGUCUCAACCUCCUGAGCUUGUUUCAAAUCUGGGCUUUUAUGCCCCUUUCUUCCUCCGUUGCUUCUCCUCAUCGUUUACUCGGCCCAUCGUGUGUCUCCCAUUGGCGCACUUUGGAGUUUGAUUGUUGUUAAAGUACUUGUAGCACUAUUUGGUACGAUUAUGAAAGCGUUUUUUACGUGGGUGGCUCGUUCACUCCCGUUUUCCGUUUAUCCAGCUUGUUCAUGGAUUCUUCUUCUUGGUGAUCGUGACGGAUCGACAAUGGCAGUGCAGCUGUUUUACAGGAGGCAGCAGCCUUGUGGGUCUAGGGCUUUUGUUGUUGUGGGCUUGUUAUUUUUGGGCAUUUGUAUUGUAUUACCUUUUAGAUUAUGCUUGUUAUGGACUGAUUUUGGGCUUUUUAUUUUUGUCAAGUAUAUCUAAUUUGCACCAAUUAUGCUUUAUUAACUUUAUGAAUGUACUAUUUUGGUGUUAAUAUGUUUUAAUGCUACUUGAAAUUUUUAUUCUCUUGCCA